AAGCUAGAGUCGGAUUCCCUUCGGGAGUGACAGUCCAGGUGGAACGAGCGGCGGACGGGUGAGUAACACGUGGGUCAACCUGCCUGUAAGAUCGGGAUAACUCCGGGAAACCGGGGCUAAUACCGGAUAACACUUCCUUUCACCUGAACGGAAGUUGAAAGACGGUUUCGCCUGUCACUUACAAAUGGGCCCCCGCCCCAUUACCUAGUUGGGAGGUUAAGGCCCCACCAAGGCAACAAUCCUUACCCAACCUGAAAGGGUGACCGGCCACCCGGGAACGGAAACACGGCCCAAACCCCUACGGAAGGCACCAUUAGGAAACCUUCCCCAUGGAACAAAAGUCUAACGAACCACCCCCCCGUGAACAAUAAAGGCUUCCGGGCCGUAAAGUUCUGUUGUCAGGAAAAAACACUUACCGAAUUACCUGCCGGUACCUUGACGGACCCUGACGAAGAACCCCCGGCUAACUACUUGCCACCACCCCCGUUAUUACUUAGGGGGCAAGCGUUGCCCGAAAUUAUGGGCCGUAAACCCCCCCCAGGCGGUCCUUUAAUUCUAAGGUGAAAUCUUGCGGCUCACCCGCAAGCGGCCAUUGAAAACUGGGAAACUUAAUUACAAAAAAGAAAACCGAAUUUCCACUUGUACCGUUGAAAUGCUUAAAUAUGUGAAGAAACACCAUUGCCAAAGGCGGUUCUCUGGCCGGUAACUGACGCUAAGGCGCGAAACCUUGGGAAGCAAACAGGAUUAAAUACCCGGGUAGUCCACGCCGUAAACAAUAAUUGCUAGGUGUUAGGGUGUUUCCGCCCCUUACUGCUGCAAUUAACGCAUUACUCACUCCGCCUGAGUAGUACCGCCGCGAUGAUCAUCCUCGAAUA
rnacentral:rRNA from 1 species